rnacentral:lncRNA from 1 species
ACACAAGGGCCAAAUCCUGAGGGGCAUGGUAAGCCUCAGAAAACAGUACGGAUUCAGUUAUAAGAGCGGUGGAACAGUAUAAUGGUUCGCAAGGUUAAAAAGAGGCAGAAGGCCGGGCGCAGUGGCUCACGCCUGUAAUCCCAGCACUUUGGGAGGCCGAGGUGGGUGGAUCACAAGGUCAGGAGAUCGAGACCAUCCUGGCUAACAUGGUGAGACCCAUCUCCACUAAAAAAUACAAAAAAAAAAAAAAAAUUAGCCGGUCAUUGUGGCGGGUGCCUGUAGUCCCAGCUACUCGGGAGGCUGAGGCAGGAGAAUGGCGUGAACCCGGGAGGCGGAGCUUGCAGUGAGCCGAAAUCGCGCCACUGCACUCCAGCCUGGGCAACAGAGCGAGACUCCGUCUCAAAAAUAUAAAAAAUAAAAAGAAGCAGAAGAAUUACUUAGGACCCAAAGAGCUCAGGGGAAUGGUAGUAAAAAUGGACAGAAAUAAAGACAUACAGGCUAUAUUUUGGAGAAGACAGAGCUUGCUGAUGAAACAGAUGCAGGAGAUAAGAGAAAUCAAGGGACCCCGGAAACUUAAAUUUCUUCAUUUAAAAACACAACCGGCCGGGCAUGGCGGCUCACACCUGUAAUCCCAGCACUUUGGGAGGCCGAGGUGGGUGAAUCACCUGAGGUCAGGAGUUCGUGACCAGCCUGGCCAACAUGGCGAAACCUCGUCUCUACUAAAAAUACAAAAAUUAGCCGGGCAUGGGGGAGCGUGCCUGUAAUCCCAGCUACUCAGGAGGCUGAGGCAGGAGAAUUGCUUAAACCCGGGAGAUGGAGGUUGCAGUGAGCCGAGAUUGUGCCACUGCACUCCAGCCUGGGUGACAGAGUGAGACUAUGUCUCAAAAAAAAAAAAAAAAAAACCACAACCAACAUUGACACCACGUACUAACUGGUGAAGAGGCAGAUGGCUGGAUGAGCAGGUUUGAUCUUGGACAUGUUAAGUUCAAGGUACAUAUCAGACAUCAAGUGAAGACAUCAAGUUGGCAACUGGAUUUACUAAUUUGGAAUUCGGGGGACAGUUCAAAACUAAAAAUAUAAAGGAGUAGUUGUAGGUAUACAGGUGUUAUUUAAGUUUAUCUAUUUAAAAAAAAAUACAAAGUGAAGGUAUCUACAACCAUGCUCUCAGU